rnacentral:lncRNA from 1 species
UUUUUUGGACCUUAGUUUCUCCUUGUCGCUGUACAAAGCUGGAGUGCUACUAUCUGUGUCCAUGACAUUUUUAUCUGAGACAUGGUCUGAUAAUUUUGUACCAUCACCAUCUUCCUAAUAAAGAUCAAGCAGCAUAUGUAAGUCUAAUAUUUUUCAUAAUUCUCUUCUGGGUUUUGCCUAUUUAACCAAUAACAAUCAAUAUUGAAUUAACUUUAACAGCAAAGUAGUAAAAAAAAGGAUCCUUCAGGAGGAUUAAUCCUCUCUUAAAAAUUUUUUAAGUUUAAUCCUAACUCCUCCGAAAGAAGCUAGGGAGUAGUUUAAAGUUAAUUACUAAUUAGAAUUUGGAUUACAAUUAAGAACAUUGUAUGUGUCAAACAAACUUGCAGAAGCUGUUUAAACUUGCAAACAAAAGAGAAACCACCAAACAACAUGGACUACAAUCUAUAAGGGUAUAAAGAAUUAUUUGGUUCAACAAGUUUUCUGUCCUAAUAAAGAAUUUGAUAGAAAAUGAAUCACAGGAAAAGGUAUUUUUUCACUGACCUUGGCCCCCCUAUCAACACCAUUAGACCCAUGUGAGUUUUGUGCAGUCACAAUAGCCGGAGGAAGCGGAGGCUGCGGAGGUAGCUGUGGCAACAAAUGGGAUGUCUCCAACAAUAUCAAAGGAGGGGGAUGGUUGGAUGCUUGAAGAGA